GGGGAUGUAUAGUUUCGAUAGAAUUGCUCUUUAAAAACUGCAAGCCGUUAAGGAAACAUUAAACGUAUAAAUAUUGUUUCAAAAUACAAACGCCAAUCUUUUUGGUGUUUUCAAUAAGCAACCAGCAUACGCUGUAGCUUAAAGAUGUUUUAGGGUAGCUUCAAGACGUAUCCUUAAGAUAAGUACCAAGUCUUGAUGCAGCUUCUGAUAUCUAAUCCAUAAUCAUAAGCCAAGCUUGUUGGAUUAAGUAUUAACCUUCCUGUUUAUGGGUUACAAGUUAAUACUCAAAAAAUACAUAAACUAAGCUUGUAGAAGUUUUUUAAGAAUCUUUUCUAGACGGGGGUGCAAAACCCCCCAUCUCCACCC
rnacentral:tmRNA from 1 species